rnacentral:rRNA from 1 species
AUUGAACGCUGGCGGCAGGCCUAACACAUGCAAGUCGAGCGGGGUUUUCGGACCUAGCGGCGGACGGGUGAGUAAUGCGUAGGAAGCUGCCCGAUAGAGGGGGAUACCAGUUGGAAACGACUGUUAAUACCGCAUAAUGUCUACGGACCAAAGUGUGGGACCUUCGGGCCACAUGCUAUCGGAUGCGCCUACGUGGGAUUAGCUAGUUGGUGAGGUAAUGGCUCACCAAGGCGACGAUCUCUAGCUGGUUUGAGAGGAUGAUCAGCCACACUGGAACUGAGACACGGUCCAGACUCCUACGGGAGGCAGCAGUGGGGAAUAUUGGACAAUGGGCGCAAGCCUGAUCCAGCCAUGCCGCGUGUGUGAAGAAGGCCUUCGGGUUGUAAAGCACUUUCAGCACCGACGAAGCGACUCUUUUGGGGAGUGACGGUAGGUGCAGAAGAAGGACCGGCCAACUACGUGCCAGCAGCCGCCGUAACAC